rnacentral:rRNA from 1 species
UCGGGAAUUUUGGGCAAUGGGCGAAAGCCUGACCCAGCAACGCCGCGUGAGGGAUGAAGUAUUUCGGUAUGUAAACCUCGAAAGAAUGGGAAGAAUAAAUGACGGUACCAUUUAUAAGCUCCGACUAACUACGUGCCAGCAGCCGCGGUAAUACGUAGGGAGCAAGCGUUGUUCGGAUUUACUGGGCGUAAAGGGCGCGUAGGCGGCGCGGUAAGUCACUUGUGAAAUCUCUGAGCUUAACUCAGAACGGUCAAGUGAUACUGCUGUGCUAGAGUGCGGAAGAGGCAACCGGAAUUCUUGGUGUAGCGGUGAAAUGCGUAGAUAUCAAGAGGAACACCUGAGGCGAAGGCGGGUUGCUGGGCCGACACUGACGCUGAUGCGCGAAAGCCAGGGGAGCAAACG